rnacentral:lncRNA from 1 species
ACAACGUAAAAAAGAGUAAUAUCUCGUUAUAUACAUUAUCAAAUACUUUUCUCUGUAUUACAAUCGGUAAAACCACUAUCCUUUACAGAAAUCGGUUUCCUUUUGUCCCUUUUCUGUUGUAAGAAAAGAACGAGUACAAUGGUAAUUCUUUUGCAUGUAUUUCUUGUGACAUCCCAAUCAUAUAGAAAUAAGAUUAUAUAAUAUAGAUAUUAUCAUUUAAAUAAAGAGAACAAUUAAAGUAGACUUGCCAUGAAGUAUGAGAUUACAAUCAUUCAUAAAAGAUGAUAGAAUUUAAGCUUAAACAAUUUAGAGUAUUUCAAAAUACAACAACAAAAUCAAGAAUUCCUAGAGAAACUACACAGCGACGUCAUCUUCUUCCAGGACCUGCUCCAGGGGAACCUUCUCAACAUCUACUUACAUCCAAGUGGAUGAUCAUCGCAAAGAAAAACAUACACAAGCAACACACAACACAGAAGCAAGGGUGAGCUAGAUAAACAAACAAUAUACAUAUAACACAAUCAAUCAACAUCAUCAUGUUUAGUUAUAUAAAAAGUAAAGAAUGAAAGGCAUACAAUUCUAACCAUGUAUCAAGUACUCAACACGACUCAUCCAGAUUUGUAUAAUUGUCGAACUAUUGGUAGUUUUUGCACUUGCAUAGUUCAGCUGGCCCUCCCCAACACUAUGUAGUAAAUCCGCACACCAGUCUAUAGUUAAACUCUAAGACUAUAGACAAGGACCUCCCUCUACUCUCACCACUCAUACUAUUCUUCUCUAUUUGAGCAUAAACAGUGCUUAGAGUGUAGGGAUAGACUUACCAUUUCAAAGCUUCGUACAUUUAUAAAAGACAACAACACGGUCCUCUACAACCACAUCCAAUCAUCUCACCCUAAGAUUUCCAAUUCAUACACAAAUACAUCAUUCUAAUUCUCAUUCAUAUUCUUUCAAGCCACACAAUUCAAAUAUAUAACAUACAUGACACUCUGUCGAUUAAACAACAUCAAACAAUCCAAACAGAAGAAGAAAAGGGUGAAACUCACUUGGCCUGGUCGCAUAGCAAGACCAGGCGCUUUUGCAUAGCGCACCCUCUCCCUCUCACUUUGCGAAUUAUCAAAAAGGGGACACCACUGUUCAGCCACUCGCACAACGCACCACUUUCACAUACCGAGUGGCGAAAAACAGAGAGCACCCUUGGGGAGGACUCGUUAUGCGAAACAAUCUGCAUAACGAGUAUGCAUAAUCUGUAGAACACAAAUUCUGCACAAUUAUGCACUCCCACUCUCUCCUACCAAUUUUAGGUAUUUUCUCCAAAUUCUAACACCCUAAAUCUGGGAUUCGAUUUUAGCUAAACUUAUCUAACUGAGUUUAAUCCUUUCUAGUACAAUCUAAAGUGAUCCUAGACCAAAUCUCAAUCUAAAACAGUUGACUCAUCAACCUAAGGACUCAAUUCCACUCCUAUCAUUUAGAACCUCAUUUUAACUAAUUUUAUUAUCCUAACAAGUUACAAUAGACUGACUAACAUUACCCCAACAGUUUAAUUACACCCUAUACCUUACUUUCUCCAAAUCACCUUUUCACUUCCUCUGUAAGCUCACUCAAAGCACUGAAAUUUAUUUAAAUUACUGCCUAUUAACUAGUAUAAUCUGUUUUACCUCAUCACAAUUUCAUUUCUCAACACAACAUCAUACCGAAAUCAAAAUUCACAACCAGCAAAUCUUUAGCACACAAUUCAUCAUGUAAAAUGCACUAAAACUCAACAUGCAUCAACCGGUUUCUAGUACAAACAGUAACACAUUACAGAAUUCAUUAUAUAUACAUAUAGAUAUUAAGCUACAAAACAAGUAAUAACCUAACUCCCCUUACCUGGAAACUCCAUAGUACAGCUCACUGUAACGCUUCCUCAUAGUACCUCUCACAGCAAGGGCACAACCACACUCUACAAAUCACCAAAGUGAUGAUAGAAACUGCUCUUAGAGCUAGAAUGAACAAAGGAAAAUGGAAAGAAGGGUAUACUAGACACAUGCAACUUAUCCUAGGUUUCAAACAAUGGAGAAGAGGAGAAAACUACUUACCGACUAAAUAACGAGGAUCUAAUCGGAUGGUUGUGAAGCUCUCUGCGUCGCGGUCACUUAAGCACCUUCUAAUCAAACAUGCAAUGACUCAGUGAGUGUGAAAGUUAGAGAGAAGUCAGAGAGAAAAAAAAAAAGCUUUCUAGAGAGAUAAACGUCCUAAAAAAAUGAGUUCAAUUUCUUUUUCUAAAAAUUUAGUAGAAAUUAUAAAAUAAUUUUUUUUUUAAGAAAAAAGUCCACCUCUUUUGUGUUAAUACUGUUUCCACUCUUCUUUAUUCUUCCUUAUGCAUAUAUAUAUAUAUAUAUAUAUAUAUAUAUAUAUAUAUAUUUAUAUAUAGGUCUUACAUUUCUCGGUAAGUAAUGUUAUUUUAAAAAUUUCUUUUAGUUUUCCAUCUCUCCAAUAUUUGAAGUACAGUGAAAAGAUUGGGUGAAUAUCGAUUAGUGUUUCUGAUUGAACAGGUAUAAAUGGGGAGUGGUUAAGUGCAGUGAAAAGAGUGUGUGAGAAUGUGAUCAGUCUCUUUCAUUUAAUAGCUAUAAAUGGAAAGUAGUUGGUUGAAGGUGGAAUGAGAAUGAAUGAAAGGACAGUGUUGUAAUUAGCCCCUUCCAUGCAUCGGAAGUAAAGUUCAGGUAUGGAAAUUGGAAACGCGCCUUUGAUCCUUUCUCGUAGUCAAAAGGAAUGUUUUUGGGAUUGCAGUAAACACAGUAACAGAUAAAAGAAUAAGAAAAUAUAAAUAAAAAUGGGCUGAAAAGGAAGAGACAUGUAUGGUCAGGUGGGCAUAAAGAAUUUGGAACUGCAUGUCUUGCACACAUGAAUGAUGAAGGGUAUCUUUCUAGCUAUCAAUUUUAUCAAUCUUAUUUCAUAAUUCAUAUAUGAAAGAAACAAACACAGAAACAGAAACCCAGAAGAAGAAGAUGAUGACGAUGAUGAUGAAUGAUUCACACCUCACAACACAGCUCCUGAGUGCCCAUUACGGCACAGCCUGUGAGAUUUCCUUGACAUGUUCUCUGAAGAAAGCGACAAGUUUGAGAUAAGUCCAAGCACCCCAUGUGGGUUCCUCCUCCCUUUUCAUCAACUUUCUUUCUCUCCUCAUUCACUUUGCUCUUUAGUUUACCCUCUCUUCAUUUCUCCCCUUCUUCCUCUUCUUCUUCUUCUUCUUCUCAUUCUCAUUCUCACUUCAAACCCACUUUUCUGGAAAAAACAAUCUUCCCUUGUGAGUCUGGUUUUCAGCAUGUGGGAAUCAGAGAGUGAGUCUGCUGCUGGGAGGGAAUAUGGGACUGGACUUCUCACUUCAACCAAGCACAGUGUCAAGACUGAGGGAUUUCAGCAAAGAGGCAACUCUUGGUAUGUUCGAUGCACUCUUGUUUAUUUUGUUUCCAUCUCAUGGCUGAAAAUCAAGAACUGUUGAGAGUGUUGUAUAUCCGUUUCGUGUUCACAUGCAGGUAUGUUUCAGCUGAUAUUCCAAGUGAUCUUCUGGUUCAAAUUGGAGAAGCAAACUUCCAUUUGCACAAGGUAGCUACUAUCUUGUUAUAGAACAAAUAAACAAAUAGAUAAUAAUUUCCUACCUGAAAGUUUUCCAUUUUUCCUAUAAAAAGUAUGGCCUUUUAUUUAUUUUUUUUAUGAAGAGGUGAGAUGUUUCUGACUUGUGCUGUUGUGAAUUUCACAAACUGUUUCUGGUGCUUUUGCCGUGAAAGUAUCCUUUGCUGUCUCGAAGUGGAAAGCUGAACAGAAUCAUAUACGAUUCUCGCGACCCUGAUUUGAAUAAGAUAGUUAUGGACGAUCUUCCUGGAGGGCCUGAAUCUUUUGAACUUGCGGCCAAGUUUUGCUAUGGAAUUGCGAUUGAUUUAACAGCAGGCAAUAUCUCUGGUCUGAGAUGCAGUGCAGAGUACCUUGAAAUGACAGAGGACUUAGAAGAAGGCAAUCUUAUAUUCAAGACAGAAGCUUUCCUUAGCUAUGUGGUUUUGUCUUCAUGGAGAGAUUCUAUAGUAGUGUUGAAAAGCUGUGAGAAGCUGUCGCCAUGGGCAGAGAAUCUACAAAUUGUGAGAAGAUGCAGUGAGUCCAUAGCAUGGAAAGCCUGUGCCAAUCCAAAGGGGAUAAGGUGGUCAUACACUGGAAGAAGGGCAUCACAAGUUUCCAGCCCAAAAUGGAAUGACAUGAAGGACUCAAGUCCUAGUAGGAAUCAGCAGGUUCCCCCUGAUUGGUGGUUUGAGGAUGUUUCAAUCCUUAGGAUCGAUCACUUUGUAAGAGUCAUUACUGCUAUUAAGGUAAAAGGCAUGAGGUAUGAGUUGAUUGGUGCUGGAAUAAUGCACUAUGCAACUAAGUGGCUACCUGGUUUGGUGAAUGACACAACAAUCCCUCCAGAUGAAGGAAGCAACAGUAGUAACAGUAACAGUAGUUCUAGUAGUGGUGGCGGUUGUGGCUGGAAAAGUGGACUUCAAAUGGUUGUGUCUACUAGACCUAGAGAUGACACUUCAACCCUUCAAGCUAAAGAUCAAAGGAUGAUCAUUGAAAGCCUCAUCAGCAUAAUUCCCCCACAGAAGGACAGUGUCUCAUGCAACUUCCUGCUUAGACUACUGAGAAUGGCAAACAUGUUAAAGGUUGCACUUGCAUUAAUCACUGAAUUGGAGAAAAGGGUGGGAAUGCAAUUUGAGCAAGCUACACUGGCUGAUCUUCUAAUCCCAUGUUAUAACAAAAAUGACACAGUUUAUGAUGUAGAUCUUGUUCAGAGGCUGCUAGAGCAUUUUCUUGUUCAAGAGCAGACUGAAAGUUCAAGCCCAAGCAGACCACCCUUUCCUGAUAAGCAUGCCACCAGUAACAUCAAUGCCAAGACAAGAGUGGCAAGACUUGUUGAUAGUUAUCUUACUGAGGUUUCCAGAGAUAGAAACCUUUCCCUCACAAAGUUUCAGGUUCUUGCAGAAGCUUUGCCCGAGUCAGCUAGGACCUCUGACGAUGGACUCUACAGAGCAAUUGAUUCAUAUCUUAAGGUAAUCAAUUCCUUCUCCUAGAGGAAAAUAGUGCAAGUUUUCCAAUUCUUUCGUAUCAUACUAAAUAUGCUUAGUAUUUUACUAUUUCCAUCAGUGACAAUUGGUGAGCAGUAUCUAUAUACAUUGGUUUUGAAAAAUGCAUCUGGAAAAUUAGCAGUGCAAGUAAAAAUGUUAAGUAGUUUAGAUUCAAAUGUGCCUUUAGAUGUCUACUCAUGCAAUUCUUAUACCCUUGAACAAAAUUAACAGGCACAUCCAACUCUAACUGAGCAUGAAAGAAAGCGGCUAUGCCGUGUAAUGGAUUGUCAGAAACUCUCCAUUGAUGCUUGCAUGCAUGCUGCACAAAAUGAAAGGCUUCCAUUGAGGGUAGUGGUUCAAGUUCUGUUCUCUGAACAAGUGAAGAUAAGUAAUGCACUAUCCAACAGUUCUCUGAAAGAAGGUGUUGAGUCUCACUACCAGCCAAUGGUUCCAAAUCGGAAAACACUUUUAGAAGGGACACCACAAUCAUUCCAAGAAGGGUGGGCAGCAGCUAAGAAAGACAUCAACACACUCAAGUUUGAGCUUGAGACUGUGAAAACCAAGUACUUGGAGCUUCAAAAUGACAUGGAAAAUCUGCAGAAACAGUUUGAUAAGCUUCUAAAGCAGAAGCAUACAUCAGCAUGGACCACUGGGUGGAAGAAACUAAGCAAACUUACAAAAAUGACCAAUGUGGAAAAUCAUGAUAUUUCACCUCAGCUUCAAACUUCAGAAGAACAGAACAGAAAGACAACAACUAGAAAGUGGAGAAACUCAAUAUCCUGAGAGAUAAGAAACUCUCAAUGCAUCGGAUUGGAACUUAUACCUCCCAUGUUUCAGUUUGUGUUCCAGACUUUAUUCCUUUUUUUUUUUUUACCAUAUUUCAUUCCUUCUUUCUUUCUUUUAGACAGCAAGAAUUUGUGGUUUCUCUUCGUUUAAUUCUUUCUUCCAUCUUUUAUAGAAAUCGCUGUGAAAUUCAAACUACAUUGUAAUUUGUCACCAUAUCCAAUCAUAGUUUUCCUUUGCUAGUUCUAGAGGCACUGCUUAACUUUUCCACCUCAUGCGUUAAAUUUUCUAAUUUAAGAAAAACCAGCAUUGUAUUAGACCAAUACAGAUAUUUAGGACUAAAAGAGACACUAAUGUCACUAGUUUACAAUAUUUUUUCUCAAUUUCAACCAUGAAAUCCUGACUUAAUUAAACAGCAUCAGACGCAUCAGCAAAAUAUAUGAAACUGACGCUGAAAUAUGAAACAUGAAAGUGUUUCACACUGUUAAAUAUGAUAUACAAAAUCACAGAUUCAUAUUUUCACAAUUGUCUUGUUUAUGGACAACUUUUGGGGUAUAUUGGUUUAUGACCUGCCAUAGAAAGUUAAACAUCUUGGCUAUGAUGCAGAAACAAAAAUGGGCCAGUUUCUUACUCAGUAUGCACUGGUGUUACAGUUGGACAAAACCUUUUUCUUUUAUGUACCUUUUAUUAAUUAUUUAUGCAAGACUUCAAAUAUCAUGUCUAAAGACUAUUCUAACAAAAAUUGUCUUUUAUAGAUUUAAACUUCAAUCAUGUUCCUAAAAGAAAGAAUGAGGAUGACCUCAUACCACAUGAUUUUGCCCAAUAAUUCUUUGGUCUUGUUUCAGGUCAAGGAUAGAAUUUUUCUUUGGUGAGCAAUAUAGAAAAGAGGAUGAUGAAAGACUAAAGCAAAGUAAAAGUAGGACGUUAAUGUUGUUAAGAAAUAAAUAAAGGAGCACAUAUGACACAAUCAAUGUUUGGCCACUGCGUUCAUGAUUUUAGAUUGGUUUGUUCUCAAUUUCAUGUGACAUCAUACUUUGCUAUAAUCAAAUUCGACAAACAAUGGUUUUUUAACUGAAAUUUAUGUUUAAAAUUUGAUUUCUUUUUAUUCUAAAAAAUGGUGUAAUUUUACAUCAAUUUUACUAUCAUCAAUAGAUUUUAAAAGAUUUACCACUUAUGGAUAAGUGGUGUUUGGAUAGUGACUUCAUCGAGGGAAGUUGUGUUCUUUGCACACACUUUCUACUUAACCUGUCUAUAUCCGUUUAGAAAAUAAGAUGAAUAGAAGUUAUGGGACGUGAUUAAGAUUUUGUUUAUACUAUUUUUGAUUUAUUGAAGUCAUGUGUACAAAUAAUAGAUUUUAAUUUUUGUUUUUAAAAUAAGAUGUCGUGUUUUAGAUACAUGAUUUUAUUAAAAAAUAAGUCAUAUUGAAAACAUGUAAGCACAGUAGUUAUAAUUUUUUUUUUUAAAUAAAAAAUCAUCCAUGGUAUCUAUAACUUAUGUAUAAGCCUCAAACAUUUACCAUUAAUUUACGAUUUCAUGGCUCUCUAUCUUAAUUUUACGAUUUUUUUUAUUUAUUUUUGUUUUUGAGAAUUCAAAUUAAAAACUGAUGGAUCUUUUUCUUGAAUAGAUUCAUAUCAUUUAAUAUUUGAUAUUAUGUUAUAUUUUGCUGUGAUCUAUAUAUAAAAUACAUGAAUAAAAAAUUAUAAGAUGAAUGUAUAUUAUGAGUUAAAAAAAUGAAACAAAUUUUAAAAAUAUUUUUUAUUGAAAUAAAUUGAAUUAAAAAUAUAAAAAAGCAUGAAUUGUUUUAGUUGUAAUUUUGUUUGUAAGUGUAAACUUUCACUUUUGCCCCGAUAAAUAAAAUUUAUUAAAAGAAAUUGAAAAAUAGGAUGAGAAAUAUAAGAUUUAAAAAAAUUAAAGAUAAACAAUAAAAGUAGAACACUAGGAAUACUCAAACUCUUGUACAAAAAUAAAUACAAGAUACUAUCCUCUUAAGCUACACGUUUUAUAAGUAUCAAUAUUAUACAUAUUAUAUAUACUUAUAAUAAAAAGGUAAACUAAAAAAGAACUUAUCUAAAGACAAUGCUAAGCCAUCAUAACUUGAAAUAUGAUGAGAUUGAAACAUAAUCAAAAAGAUACGAUAAAAAUAAAUAAAGUGGUAUUUAAAUCAUGUAACAAUGUGUAUUGUACUUGAUUUCACAUUCCAAUAUUUCCAAAUUUCCCAAAUAAUUACUAAUUAUAUACCUUUCCAGAUUUUAUUUUGUUUUCUAUUUAGUUAUAAAGUGCAUAAAGUUAAUACUAAAAAACUUAAAAAAGAACAAAUUUUCUUGGAAAAAUAUAAAUUGUAUAAUUCUAAUAUUAAUAGUAUAAAAACUGGAUAAUUUUAAGAGUAAAUUCAUCUUUGAUGUGAAAUGUCUGUUUUGUCCUUUGUCCUUAUGCAAACUAUUGAGGCAAUGAAAUUGGUUACAUAAUCAACACAAUUGAUCAGAUAAGACUCAGUUCAUAAAAAAAUGACAAGAUUUCAAAUGCAUUAUUCACUAUAGUUAUACUUCAAUCUAAAUUGGAAAUAAAAAAUAACUAAGCGAUAAAAUGGUAGAUUUUAAACAUUUAUUUUCUUUUUCUUUCAAACCAAAACACUUUUAUUCGUAUUUUAUUUUCCUCCUUCAACCAAACAAAUAUUUAAUUUUGCUUUUCAGGUCUAUCUCUCUGAUUUCUUUUCUCACAUUUUUAUCUGAAAUAUUCUCUAACAUUACUUAACGUAGCAUCUAAUAAAAUAGAUUAAUGAAAAAGAUAUUUUAAAUAUUAAUAUAUGAAGUUAAAGGUUGAAGUGAGGAUGAAUGAUUGUAGACAUAUAAUUAAUUAGAUAUUAGUGAUUGUGCAGUGUAUUAUUGUGGCAGUGAUACCAAUUUUUUCUUCAUAAUUGCUUGCUUUGUCUGCUAAUAACAGACAAGGAUUUGGAUUUGUAAGUUCGUCUAAUCCUAAACAGUUUCAUCUUCAAUCAUUUAUAAACCCUGAACAAGUACUUCUACUCAAACUUCGAAUUCAUUUCUUAACUGACAACACUAUCAAAUCAUAGAUUAAUUUAACUAAUUUUUUAUUUCAUAAACUACCAUCAAUUAUAUUUAUUACCAUAGUAUAAAAAAAUUAAGCAUAAAAUAUUUUUAAAAAAAUAUUAAAUAAGACUUUAAUAUACUAAAUAUUGUAUUUGAGUGUAGAAGAGUAUUAAUUACUUAUUUAUGUUGUUUGAAUAUUCUUGGGUAUGAUUUAUGUAUGUUUUACUAGACUCUGACCCUUAACAGGAGAACAUUAUUAUGCCCGAAAAGUUAUUCACUUAUAAUUUGAAAAAUAUAAGUUGAGAUAUGUUUGUUGGAUUUUUAAUUUCUCAGUGGAUUUUCAUAUUGUGUCCUUUUCUUAUUCCUAAUUACUGUUAAUUAAUCCAAAAAUUCCAAAGUAAAUAAUUGUUCAAAGAAUGAAAACAGGAUUGUCUUUUUUAAUGAUUUAAAGUUUAAAUUCAUGAUUUUAGAUAUGACUGUUGUAAUAAAAAUUCCUUCUACUGAACAAGUAUCCAUUUAUAAUCUUGUGUUAUGUAUAAGUACCUCAGUGAUGUAGAAAAAUACCCAAAUAUCUUCUUACUAAUAAUAAUAUUUUCAUUUGAAUUCUUUCUAGCAUAAUACUUAUCAUAUUUUUCUAUAAAAUAAAUAAUGUAAAGACUUAAGAAAAAUAAUUAAAAGAAGAAAUGGUUUUUAUAAAUUGAGCUUGAAUAUUAUUAAAAUAUAAAGUUUAUAAAUAGAAAUAUUGUUUAGUAUAAAAUAUUAUUAUCUUUCUAUGAACUAUUUAUCUAUCUUUUUCUCUAUAUCCUUUUAGGAUUAUAAUCAAUCAAGUUUUCUUUUUAUAAAGAUCAUAUGUCAUCAUAUGAAGGUUUAAGUGUAAAAUAUAUUGUUCUAAUAAAACUAUCAAAAUUUUCUGCUUGGUAAGAUCACUUUUGCCCUUUUUUUUAAUUGGUUUUUAAAAAUCAUACAUGUAAGAGCUUUGAGUUGUUUUAUGAAUCUUUGUUUGUCUAUAUAUGUUUAGAUAAUUGAUGUGAAGUUUUUAUAUACAAGAUUAUUUUAUGAAAGCUAGAGUCCUUAAAGUUAAGUGGAAUUAUAACACAAUCCAAAUAAAGAAAGCUAAUGACUUUUAUUUCAAUUUAGAUAAAUUGUUGCAAAGGGUGACAUGUUCAGCACAUUUGAUAAAAUUGGAAAUUUUACUAUGUGUAUAUUUUUUGUUAGUUUUGAUGAGAUGUUAAAAAUAAGUUGAUUCCUGAAAAGUCACUCUGAAUUUUGAAAUUUUGUAGUUAUUUAGAAUUGAAUAAUUAUGUGUUAUAAGUAUGCUGUUGUUUUCAUUAGUUCCAAUAUUGAUGAGAUUAUUUUGAAUGGGAAUUUUUGAAUGUUAAAAAAGAUUGUCACAUGUUUUUGUGUUAAGUGAGUUAUAAUAUAUCAUUUAAUAAAUUUGUUCUAUGAAUAUGUUGUUUAAUUAAAUGGCCGGAUUUUGAAUUGAGAAAUGAAUAGAAUUGUUCAAAUAAACUAAUUUGAUAAUCUAAAAUAUCUUUGAAUUUUUUGAAAUGAAGAUUUUAUAGACAAACCAAUUUAACUUAUUUAUUAGUGUUAACUUUUUCUUUAUUAAGAUCUACAAUUUACGGAUAUUGAAGAUGCCACCUCAUUAAUAAUCAGACCAAAAACAUUCUAUUUCUAUUUAUGGUAAUAAUCAUGUAUUAAUUUCUUCAUAUUGUAUACGAAUUUAUGUUUUUCUUAUUUGUUUUUGUCAUUUUCUACUAAAUUUUAAUUAAGCUUUUUUUUUUUUGUGUUUGUGUAUAUUAAUUUGGUACUUAGUUGUUUAUUAAAAUUGAAAAUCCAAAACAAGAUUAAGCCAAAUGUUUAGGUAAAUUGGUCUAACAUGAAGGUCAAGUUAAGUCGGUCUGAUUGAAGACCAAGCUUAGUCAACCUAGGUGAAAGGUUGAGAUAAGUUGACUUAAUUCGAAGAAAGAAGAUGAGUCAGCUCGAAUUGAAGAUCAAGUUAAGUCAUCCUAGACUGAAGGUUAAUUUGAGUAGGUUUGGACCAAUGAUUUAUGUGAAUAGGCUCAGGUCGAAAGGUAUAGUCGAGUUAUCUCGGAGCUAAUAUCGUGCCAAGUUAGUCUAGACCAAAAUUCGAGUUGAGUCGGCCUAGACAAAAGGUCGACUAGAGUUAACUUGAGUCGAAGGGAUGAGAAGCUAACUAGAACCAAAGACUGAGUAGAAGAAUUUAGUAGAUUUGGUCCAAGUUAAAGGAUUCAAGCAGAGUUUGUCGGAGCCGAGUGUUUAAGGUAAGUUGGCUUUAACCGAGGGGUUGAGUUGAGUUGGCUUGAACCAAGUGGUCAAACUGAAUUGGCUGGAGAUGAAUAUCAAGACGAGUCGACUCAGAAUAAAGGUCAAGACAAGUCAUUUGAGAUGAAAGUCAAAACAAAUUAGUUUGGAUCAAAAGUUGAGACAAGUCUUUUAUAAAACAUAUUUAAAAAGUUAAUUAAAAUUUUAUAGUGUGAUCAAACUAAAUUAACCCUAACCAUAAACCCAUUUUAAGAUAAGACUCCAAGGACAAAUACUUUUUCAUCUUACUCAUUUGGUAGGCCAGUAAAAAUGGGCUGUUGAAGAUAUAAUUUAAAUUUAAAUUAUUGUUGUGCUUAGUUAGGAAUAAGUUGAAAGUUGUUUUCUGUUUUUAAAGUUGUUUCCUAAUUUUACGUAUAGGCUGUUAACAAUGCUUAUAUAAUUGUAUCUCAUUUUGGGAAAAAAGUAUGAAUGAAAAGUAUGGACAGUCCACAAAAUCAAAAUCCUUCUCCUGAAGUCUCCACUGAUCUUCCAGGUACAAAUCUUGUCAAUGCAAGUCAUCCUCCAAAAAAUGAGACACCAUGUCUAUCUUACAUACCAGAAUCAUCUGUUGUGGACAGUUCUAAAACACAUCCAGAACCUAUUACUGAGGUAACUUUUGUACCUAUUGUAAACUCUUCCACCCCAACUUCUUCUUACACUCAAAAUAUACAAAUCAGAAUAUCAGAGCGACAAAAUAAAGGUAUACAAAAACCAUUUUAUGAACCAGAUCCGAGAGUGAAAGUUAAUUACCCUAUUAGCAGUUAUGUAUCAUCUCAUAGAUUAUCUGAAUCAUAUGCUCUAACGGUUGAUCAAUUACCCAUUGUAUAUAUUCCUAACAGUGUGCAGGAAGCAUUAGAAGAUCCUAGAUGGAAGCAAGUAAUGAACAUAGAGAUGGAAGCACUUCAGAAAAAUGAAACUUGGAAACUAACUUCUUUACCAAGUGGAAAAAAGACAAUUGGGUGCAAAUGGGUAUACACUGUGAAGUUAAAAGCAGAUGGAAGUAUUGAUAAAUACAAGGCUAGACUCGUGGCAAAAGGAUACACACAAAAAUAUGGGGUAUACUAUCAAGAUACGUUUGCUCCGGUGGUUAAACUCAACACAAUCCGAGUCCUAAUUUCCAUAGCAGCUAAUAGAGAUUGGCCCCUAAAGCAAUUUGAUGUAAAAAGUGCUUUCUUGAAUGGUGAUUUAGAAGAGGAGGUCUACAUGGAGGUUCCACCGGGAGUACAACUACCACCUUUAAAAGAAAGUGUAGUCUGCAAAUUAAAAAAGGCUUUAUAUGGCCUUAAACAAUCACCCAGGGCAUGGUUUGAAAGACUCACGUUAGCAAUGAAGAAGUUUAGGUAUAAACAAAGUAAUUCAGACCAUACCUUGUUUAUAAAGCAUAACAAAGGAAAAGUGGCCAUACUUAUUGUCUAUGUAGAUGAUAUGGUGUUAACGAGAGAUGAUGUGGAAGAAAUGAAAUUACUUGAGAAGAAACUGGCUGUUGAAUUUGAAAUGAAGGAUCUAGGACAACUAAAAUAUUUUCUUGGCAUAGAAAUUGCAAGAUUUGAACAAGGUAUUUUUCUAUGUCAAAGAAAAUAUAUUCUAGACCUUCUAUCUAAGACUGGAAUGUUGGCUUGCAAGCCAGCCGAUACUCCAAUUGAAAUGAAUCAUUCUCUUGCUGUAUAUCCAUACCAGAUUGAGACAGACAAGCAUAGAUACCAGAGGUUAGUAGGAAAGUUAAUUUAUUUAUCUCACACUAGACCUGACAUUGCCUAUUCUGUGAGCAUUGUAAGUAGGUUCAUGCAUUCUCCUAGUGAAGAACAUAUGACAGUAGUAUACCGUAUCCUCAGAUACCUCAAAGGUUCACCAGGGAAAGGUUUAUUAUUUUCAAAAAAUGAUAGAGCUUGCAUAGAAGGAUACACUGAUUCAGACUGGGUUGGAGAUAAAACUACAAGGCAAUCAACUUCAGGGUAUUUUACCUUUGUAGAAGGCAACUUAGUCACAUGGAGAAGCAAGAAGCAAAAGGUAGUUGCAAGGUCUAGUGUUGAAGCUAAAUUUAGAGGUAUGACAUAUGGCAUUUGUGAAUUACUAUGGAUUAGAAGCAUCCUAGCUGAUUUGGGAAUCAAAUAUGAACAACCGAUGAACCUUUUCUGUGACAACAAGGUUGUGGUAGAAAUUGCACAUAACCCAGUUCAAUAUGAUAGAACCAGACAUGUUAAAGUGGAUAGACAUUUUAUUAAGGAAAAGCUAGAUAAUCAAGUAACUCAAACUCCACAUGUUCGACCUGAAGAUCAACUUGUUGAUAUAUUAACAAAAGUUGUUUCAGGAAAGGUGUUUGAAAAAGUCAUUAACAAGUUGGGCAUGACUGAUAUUCAUGCAUCAACUUGAGGGAAAGUGUUGAAGAUAUAAUUUAGAUUUAAAUUAUUGUUGUGCUUAGUUAGGAAUAAGUUGAAAGUUAUUUUCUGUUUUUAAAGUUGUUUCUUAAUUUUACGUAUAAACUCUUAACAAUGCUUAUAUAAUUGUAUCUCAUUUUGGAAAAAAAGUAUGAAUGAAAAAUAUCGUAUUUGUUUCCUGUGAAUUGUUUAACAUGGGCUUAUUUAGAAAUGGAUUAGAAUUGACACAGGAAGCAUUGAUCAAAUUAACACAUGUACUUAUGAGUCUUUAACUAAAAAAAUACAUAAAGGGAAAAACUAGUUUUCCUGGAAUCUAUAACCAUUAUCUGAUACGAAUGAAAUGGUUCGAAAAUUAGUACAACAAAAUUCAACACUUAUGCAUAACAUCUCUAGGUUUGGAUGUGAUCCAAUUACAAAAGACAUUGACAAGAGAAAAUUAAUUGAAGGUAAACCUUGUUCAGAAUCUUUUAAAUAAAUUAUUAGUUUAGCAUAAAAGUUUAUUUGUAUUAUAUUAACAAUAAAUUAAUUUUUGUUUUGCUAGUCCCACCCCGCUAACAACAACCCUUAAAAAAUAAGCUUGGUUGGUUAUGUAUGAUACGAGGAUUUGAAUAUUGUUGAUAGGGAUGAAAUUGCUAAUCAGAACAACUACACUGCAUCAGACAUCGAUGACUCUUGAGCAACAACUUUUGUGGAAGAACUGCAAAUUUAGGAAUGGAAAACUUUUUAUAUGAUGCUAACAGUUAUACUACCAUAUAACUAUGAACGACUCUUCUAGCCUAGUUAUAGUUAAUCCUUGCAUGAUCUUUCGUUUCCUUAAAACAAUCAUAUUUAGACAGGAAAUGGGGAAGCACAUAUUGACAGAAAAUCAUAUUUACAAACAUAAAAACAACAUCAGAUAACUAUGUCCAUGAUACACUCUAAUGCAUACAACACUUCCAUAACCAUUCACACUCCAAUUAUUCAUACAAUCACACCUGACAGCUUCAUAAUAGCAUCCUCAAAAGGAGACCUAGACCACCAAUAUGAAUCACAAAGCAAAAACUAGAAUUGCUUGUCAUCAUUCCGCACUCCAUCAACAUGUAAAACAAAGUAACCUUUACUACAAAAUGCUAUAUAUCCAAACAAAGGGCCCCAGCAAUUCAUGAUGAAACACUAGCCUCACUCUGCCAAACAUCAGGAAACUUUCUUGUUACUUUAGAGUAUAUGCCAGCAUGAUAUGCGUGCAACCUUGAAAGAGAGGACAAAAGCACGAACCCAAGAAUGAAAAGGGAGGGUGGAGAGUGGGACCCCAGUUGCCUAAUGCGCAUGCAUUCAAUCACCAAGAGAGUGCAACACUUGAGAGAAAAAAAAAGUGUCCUCAUUUACAGCAAAGCCCCCCACUACCAUCUCCAUCACUUCAACCUGUGAUCUUUAAUCCUCCAAAAAAAGCUACAGGAUAAUCAUGUUGGUCAACAAAUUGAAACCCCAUAUCCUGCACUCUUUUCCAACCCAACUGCCAAAGUGCAAUACUAUCUAUUUCAACAUCAGUACCUUUAUUUCCCAACCAUAUAUGUGCACCUCCUCAAGAAAGAGGAUUAAACAAGACAAAAUGCAAACAUGCUAAGAUAAAUAUAUCAGCCAACAAAGCUAAUAAAUCAAAGAACUACAUCUUUUCACCAUGGAUGUGUCCUUCAACCAACAUAUAUACUAUAACCUUCGUGGCUGUGAUUGACUCACUGAUUGACUGUGAGUAGUACUUAGUGAUAUUCUACACCAAGAGAACCAGUUUGGGACAUCAAAACUUUCAAGUACUCAAUAGUUCCAUCAAUGACUAACAUUGGCUCCUUUCCUUUUGCACCAGGAAUUAAAUUCUCCAGAACUGUCAAAGAUUCCCGGAUCUUAUCCUUUUUUAAUUUGAUAUCACACACCACUGAAUCAUCUACUUUAGUUUUAUCAACAGAAUAAGUCCAACCACUGGAGUUCUUUGAUUCAGCAUCACUAACAUAAUCACAGGUUUCAUUUGGUUGUACCACAGUAGUUUGGUCCACACGUGGGGAUGACCUAUUGUCGCCACCAGUAAUUAACUUCAUCUUUUUCUUAGGCCAACAAGAGCUGGCAACCUCCUCCUUCAAGUCCUCACAUUGUUCUUGUAUCGCAUAAGUCCUUGUAGUUGCCAAAGGAGAACGAUCUGUACUUGUUACCUCAUCACAAUUAUCCUCAUCAUAUUCACUGCUGUCAUCAUCGGAAUAAAGCAAUGCAUUUAUUUCUUCCGUAUCUUCAUGCUUUUCACUUUCUUCAAUAACUACAUUAUCCUUAACAGACUCUUUCAGUAAACCAUAGCUGGCAAGAUGCUUUUGACCCAUAAUUCUAGCCUGUUCCUCCCCAUAUACGUCAUAACUUUGAGCAAUCUUCUUAGUAGUGACAAUUGGACUCUGGACAAGAGGAGAGACAGGCCCAUAAAACAACCUUGUCUUAUUAUCAGAGCGGUCAAAGAUAAGUAACCUCUUUUGCAAAGAAGGAUUUGCAUUUUGUAAAGCUCCUCCAAGAUGCAUUUCUUUCAGACUUGUGUCUCCGUUGUGAUACUUAAGGUAUCCUUGCACUUCAUUUGUUAGCUCAGUCUUCAGACUUCGAAUAGAAGGAGCUGCAAGCCCAUGAGGUAAGAUGGAAGUACUUGAGUUCAGAUAUGUUGGGAGACCAAGUGAGCCGGGCUUAGGCAGCAUGCUUAAGUAAUUCAAAGAAGGUGAUUGCCAAGCCACAUGGUGUGAGCAAGGCAGGGAGCUGUCAGCCUUAACCAUCUAACAAAACAAAUGACCUACAGAACAAUAGAACCAAUCAGCCAAUGGUAAAUAUGAAACCCUUUCUGUUGAAAAGAUGAAGAAACCACAUUGGAAAAAAGUACCAGUAGAUGUUAUGGUGCUCUUGUAAGAGAUCUUUUCUAACUUCCUGAUUUUCUAAGGGACAAGAGGGAAAAAGGGAAACUACAAGCUCCAGCUUAAAGAGAAACAAAUAUGACUUAAUCUACGUGACAGGCUUAAGCAAAUGACGGAAGUACUCAGCCUGCAAAGAAUCAAAAGAUAGCAUAUGUCACUCAUUGAGCUCAUAUUCAUAAAUCUAAUAACGGAUAAUAGAGGCUUUUUAAUAUUCAAUGGUCAUAAUGUUCAUGUCUUAUGCUGACACAUAAGGAAAUUUCCAUCCAACAGGCUUCGAAACCAAGGAUAUCAUUAAAAAAUAUUGCAAAUGGCAAACGCCAAUCAGAAAUAUGUACUAACCUGACAAAAAUGCAAAGGUUGAAAGCAUGCUAUCACUCUAACAAUAAUUGUUGCUUCACCGUUAAUGCCAUACUCAUGUUUUAAUGCUCGGAAUCUUGUUUGGCUCGCUGCUUGGCACACCAUAACUUCUUUUGUUUCUAACCACAAUACUCAAUCAAUCUAAUGUUAUUGUACAAAGAGAAGAAAAGCCCAAUAGAAUAUCACAAUGAAGAUACCCCAAUCUAAACACAAUCAGAAUCAGCUAGAACUUUAGAAUAACAAGAGAUGAGAACAUACUGAAAAUACAAAAUACAAAAUACAGAAUGUUCCUUCACUUCCUAUCUUUUAGCCUAUUCUAUACUUAUCAGAAGAAACGAUCAAACAAUUAGCUUCCAUGGCAGUAGCUAAGCACAGAUUUUUGGGAAUGAUGAUCUACAGAAUAACUUUACAAUAUAAGUUCAACUGUAUAACUUGGCGGAACACAUCAACAGAAAGACCCAACCAACGCAUGCUGAUUCUUCCUGUGUGGCUUUAGAUAUAAUGAAUUACUUAGACCUUCAGGCUGAUAUUAUGCACUCGAAGAAACCAAUAUCCCUGAAACAAAAUUAUAUCAUAGAAUAAACAUCAUAAUUUCAUUUCACCAAAAACAACACAAAAAAUUGUUUUUUAAUAAACCAAAUAGCCUAAUGUUACGCUCAAGCCUUAAAAGAGAAAACAUCAACAAAUAAAAUCUAAUUUAACCGUUCAUUCAUUCAAAAUAAACAUGUAUGAACCUCAUCCUUCUGUAAAUUUUCUUGUUCAAAUGGAAACGUCCAUAAUAAGCAAACAGAAAUGGAAAAUGAACAUAUUCACCACAGACUGACUUGUUCUCAAGUAACAUACGAGGACAUGAAGCACACGUAGCCUAGUUCCAAAAUCUGUCAACCAUAUAGGUUUCUUCAACAUAAAGGAGAAUAAAAAAUAGCAAAAAAAAAUACUACAAUCCUCAAAUUUCGCAAAAGCAGAAGCCUGUCAGUUAAACAGAGUAUGAUCCAAUAAAGAAAAAGACACACAUAGAUAAUCUUAUAAGACUUGACUCAGAAACCAAAUUUCAUCAAGGAGAUCCUAAUUCAACCAAAGGCUUCAGCUUUUCACUCCCCACCCCUUACCCACUAACCUUAGCAAAUAAUUCAGAAAACCCACAAAGGAAAAAUAAGAAGGAAUCAAUGUUUGAAAUACUUACAGAUGGAUUGGAAGGAAAUGGUGUUUUGAGCUGAGCAGAGUUAGAGAGACAAAAGAGAAGAGAAAAAAGGGUGAUUGAGAAUGAAUAGGGAAGAGCAGGGAAGAAACCAUUCACUACAAGAAGAAAAUGUCCAAAGAGAUACUGCUGAAUGUGGAUGCCACUGCUAUAUAGACAACUAAAUGUGACUUUAGACUUAAUUUCUUAGCAGUUGCUCAUCAGAGUUGUUAAACUAACAAUGAAUUUUUUAUUAAUAAAUAUUAUUAAUAUAUUUUUUUAUCAUAUUUUAUAUAUUAUUUUGAUUUAAAAAUGAAGGCAUUGAAAUAAAACUUAUUUCUUAUUAGAAUUUUUUUAAUUUUUUUUAAAGAUACCAUGAAGAUGCCUUUAAAAAUACGUAUGUAUUAUAGGGCAAUACCAAAAAUGAAGACAUUCUUAUAAUGAGUUUUUAAACAUAAAAUAGGUUCAUUUUGAGAGAUAAAUUGCCUAUAUACUAUUGUCUGUACCUGUUAAGAUUUGAAAUCGAGGACAACUUUGGAUCUCUCAAAGGUAAUAUUAGAAUAUAUUGGUGUAGCUACAGAGUAACUUUACUGAAAUUUGGUAAGAAUAAUAAAUUAUCUAUCAGUGUAUUUUAAUAUUUUAUAAUUUAAUUUAAUCAAAAUAAAAGUUUUUGAUAGAUAUUUCAAAAUAGUUUGUUUUAUUAACUUUUAAUUUAUAAAUUAUAAACUACUUUAAUUGGUUUAUAACUUAUGAUUUGUAACUUUUUAUUAUUAUUAUUAUUACUAUUUUUAAUUUUAUAUUUUAGUAAUUUCUUUAUUAAUUUUAGUUUAAUUUUAUUUAUUUUAAUCUUAUAUUUAAACUUAAUUAUUACAGUAUUUUUAGUACUUAUUGAGUUAUUUUUUAAUUUAUUAUAGAAUUUAAAUUAAAAAAAGUAACAUUACAAACUAAAAUAACAAAGUGAUAAUAUAUAAAAGCAUAUAUAGCAAAAAUUAUAAGAAAUAAAUUCAAUAUAGAAAUAAUUUAAAUUUAAUUAUAUUUUUUAAAUUAAUUAAUUGAAAUAAAAAAGUAUAUAAAGAUUACGAAACAGAAAUAAAAAUAUAAAAAUAUUUAUUUAUUUAAAAAAUUAUACUUAUAGUUACAUUUGUUUUUGUUUAGAAAGAUAGAUUUCAUUUAUAAAAUAAAAGUUGUAUAGUUAUAGAUAAUUUAACAAUAAUUUGGUUGUUGAGGUUGUAAGUUGGAGGAAAUUAAGUUAUAGAUUGAAAAGAUUAGUGAUAAUAAGAAGCAUGAGCAUGCUUACAACACGGUUGAAUAAUUAUGAUUAGAAUGACAAUGACGACAAUAGCAUUCGUGAAGAGUUGAUAAGAGACAUACACACUAAACAUGCAUCAUUCACUAAUGAAAUUAUUAAUCCAUUGCUUACCACAUUCCAACCUAAUUUAAUGGACCCAUUAGCCCCCACCAAAGUCACCACACACACACAAUAUAUAUAUAUAUAUAUAUAUAUAUAUAUAUAUAUAUAUAUAUAUAUUCGAUUAAAUAAAUAAAUAAAUAAUAAUUGAUAUUAUGGCUUAAACUUGACUGGAAUGUUGACAAACUAGAAGAAUCAAGCGGUUGACGUGCAAGAAAGCAUUUCAUCAUUGUUCGAUUCCGACAACUGUUGAGCAAAAUUAAGAUGUAAUUAAUAUCACAAAAGUUGGUUUGCAUUAAUGAUCAUUAAGAAGUAAAUUAAUUGAUCAAAUUCUAUAAAUAAGAGUCUAGAUAACCUCACUUUUACUCACCAUUGAAUUACUAAAAACCUACAGAGAAAAAUUCUGACUCCAGCGUCAGAGUGUAUUCUACAAGUUACCCUCUACACCGAUCGAUUAUUUAGAACAAGGAGAAAAUGAGGACAUUCGAUAGAGACAGGAACUCUUCAAACGGUUAUCCUCGUUCCAUUUCAACAUCAACAAUAAUAAUAAUAAUACAAAAAAAAAUUACACAAAUACAAAAACCAUCAAGUGCAAUUCAAAAUUUUUCCACUAAAUAACAACAAUAAUAAAAUCUAAUAUGUAUUUGUAAAAACAAGAGAGACUCUCAAAAUUUGAAAGAGGCCCAUUGUUUAAAGUAAAAUUAAAUUAAUCUCUUACAUGAAAUUAUAAGUUUAUAAGUUGUGAUAAUAGAAUGUUAAUAGUGAUUAUUAAAAGAAAAAAAAAAUGUAUGAUUGUAUAAAGAAAGAUGGUGGAGGGAAUGAAGAGGAAAUAGAGAAAAUGAUAUAAUGAGGUCUAGUCUUUGGGUUACAAGUAGCCCAGAAUUAAGGGAAUUCAUUGCUUUCUACUUUUUCUUCUUUUUUUCUCUGCAAAUCGUGUGCCUGUGAGGUCUAGUCUUCUUUUUUUUAUCAUAACCAUCAUUCUUCUUCUCAGAUCUCAUUAUCAUAUCUCUAAUCUAAACACAUAUAUGUCACAAAUCAAAUUACUACUCAAACUAUUUCAAUUUCCAAAAUGCAUUAAUUCUUGUUUUAUUUUUGAUAAUUUAUUUUUUCUCUUAUUUAUUUUCUUUUUGCAAAUCCAUCACCAUCACUCUUUUCUUCGUCUAAAAUUAUCUUAAUCUUAAAUUGUGCUAAACUUAGAUAGAUUUUGAAAAGAUCAUUCAUAUAAGUUAAAGAAAUAACUUUUAAACAUAUCAUAUCUCGAAUGGUACUAUAUAGAUACAUAUUUUAGAAGGAUUAAUGAAAUAUGUUAAAAAAUAACUUUAAAUAUAUUAUAUCUCCAAUUCUAUUAUAUAUAGAUAGAUUUUGAAAAUUUUUAAUCUUAAUUGUAGUUUAAUCUUUACCAUGAGUAAACUUAUGUUAUUAAAUCAUACAUUAUAUAUAUUGUAGAAUUUUAUUUCAAAAUUUGGGUAAAUAAGUUAAUUUUUUUUUAUAUGAAUUGAGUUAAAUCGGAUUAAAUCAAGUUAAAUGGUCUAACUUUCUAAUCCAUUACUGUGAUUACUAAUUAGGUUGAUUUUCACAGCAUCCAGAACAAUAUAAAAAACAUGUAUAUAUAUUACCUUUACAUAUUAAUAUAGAUAAAUAAAUAUGUUAUACAUUUAAAAGUUUAAUUAAUUGUUUAUGUUUGUUUAUUUUCAUUUAUAUCUUUAAUUAAAUUUCCAAGUGUUCAUGAUUUCUGGACCAUCGAUUUAAUGAGAAAUAAAAAAUGUCAAAAAAUUAAAAGGUAACGAAAAGAGAAACACGAGUAUUUUGAAUCUUUUUCUUAUUAUUGGAGUUAUAUCACAAUGAUUAUUUUUCGUUUAUUUCUCCUUCAUCUAAUAUAUUUUUUCAUAUACAAUAUUACGCAAAUGUUAGCCAUAUAUUAAUUCUCAAAUAUUUUAACCAAAAUUAUAUUCGUUUUCUAAGAAAUGAAUUGACAUAUAUAACCUUUUUUAUUCUUAAUUUUUUAAAAUACAUUUCAAUUUAUAUUUUAAAAUUGAUCUAAAUUUUAAAUCAAACAUUUUAUUGCACUGGUGAAGUCAGUUGAAUUUGUCCAAAUCUCUUUUUUAAAAGAGAAGAAAAGACCUAAUGUCCCCCUAAUGAUUGUGAUCAUUUAAUAAAUUAAUGAUUGUUAUCCUUAAUCAUCAUUGCAUUGCCAUAUGUCUAUUACCUUCUUUCACCAUAAAUUUUGGAGGUUUGACAAUUUCAAAUCUUCUAAAUAUGAAUCAUUAUAUAGCAACAGAUAUAAUAAAUAAGUUGUGUUAAUAUAAAUUAAUCUUGUUAUAUCACAUAAAACAUUAUCAUCUAUCUCAUAGAAAUUAUAUUUCUUUUAUUGAAGGAUAAUUCAAAUAUCACAUGAAACUUAUUAUAAAUCCUUUACAUACUGUUUGCGUUGUAACAAUUCGUACCAUUAUGUUAUAAAAUGGACUUAUAAAUAUAUUUGAUGAUUAAAAAAAUUAGGUUUAAUUGUUUCUUUUAUCUCCAGUUUGGUUGAAGUGUGUCAAAUUCGUCCUUCUUUUAGAAAAAUGUCAAUUUCGUCCCCAUAUAGAAAAAAUUUGUAUCAAUCAAGUAAUCUCCGUUGAAAUCAUUGUUUUCAAAACUCACUUUAUCCACUGCAAUAUCAGGGAUCGGAUCUAUGAAGUGGUUAUUAUUCAAAACUCACUUUAAGUUUUUAACACCAUUAGUUUGUAUUUAACGGAGAUGAUUUGAUUGAUACAAAUUUUUUCUAUAUGGGACGAAAUUGAUAUUUUUCUAAAAGAAGGACGAAUUUGACACACUUCAACCAAAUUGGGGAUAAAAGAAGCAAUUAAACCAAAAAAUUAAUAUAUAAAGAGAGACAUCUAGUCUUACGUAUGCAUAGAAAUUUGAAAUUAAAAUUUUGUCACCUUGAACUUUUCAUUUCGUGGUGUUGUUAUAUAUGUCUAUUUAUAGACAAAUUUCUCAUGAUUAUUUGUGGAUGGUUUUCACCUUGACUUUUAAUUGGGUUAAGUUGACUUAUGACUUCCUUAUAAUAAUGCUAAACAUCCUUCUAUUAAACUAUUAUUCUUAUCCUUACUAUUAUACCGUCUCUUUCAUAUUAUAUAUGUUAAAUUAUACAAUUUAUAAACAUAGUAAUGAAAAAGAGACACUUUAUAUAAAAUAUUAAUAAAUAUAAUUACAUAUAAAAAGAUAAUACGCAAUAGUCACUUUUAGUAUUUGAAUAAUUUACUUUUAUUUUUUAAUUUUAAAAUAUAAUUAAAGAUAAAAUAAGAAUAUAAAAUAUCUACACUAAAAAAAGAAUUAUAUAGAUAUAUGCAAAUGAAAAAGUAAACAGAUAAAAUUUAAUAAAACACUAAAAGAAUGUUGUCAUUCCACAAAAUAAUGUUAUUAAUUAUGUAAUAUUAAAAUAUUAUAUUUGUCUUUUUUACACAAAUAAAUCCUAUUAAGUUAAAAGAGGAUAAACAUAUUAAAAAUUGGAAGCUUAAAAUGUUUGGAAUACUUCUUGAAGUUUUUACAAGAUAUACGUGAUCUUGAAAAAAAACAAAAUUAAAUUAAAUGUUAUAAUAAAAUAAUAAUUUUUUUAAAGUAUAAGUUGGGAUAUGAAAAAAUUGUCAGUGUCCAAUAACCACUGUCCUUUUGACAUAUUUAAAUUUUUUACUUUUAUUUAAUAUUAUUUUUAUUUACUUUUUACUUUUUUUUUUUAAAAUUAUAAAAUUUUAUAUUUUUUGAAUUAUUUUAUUUUAUAUUAUAUGUUAAACGAAUAUGCAAAAAGUCAAAUUAGUAACAUGAAAUGAGGAAUUUUAAACUAGAAAAAACUUCUUUUAAUAACACUUUUUUAACAACUUUUUGAUAAUACAUACGUGGCAGCUUGUGAUUGAUCCGUUUUAAAUAUUUUUUAAACAUAAAUUCAAAUAAACCAAUAAAAUAAUGAUACAUAUCCCGUUGUCAAAAACAUUAUCAAAAAAUGUUGACAAAAUAUCAUUAUUGUCCUUUAAACUAUUGUUUGUCUGAAACUGAAGUUAUUCUUUAAGCAAUAUUUUAAGUUUAAGCGUUGUGAAUAUCUGUGUUUGAAGAGAGCAGAUUCCAACAAAAAGAGUGAAAGGUAAAACUGUUACAAACUAUACACAUGUCAUGGCUAAAAAAGAUACUGCAAACGUUGCUUUCUUGAACUAGCUACCAUUUGUUCAUAUUUCUGUAGCAAAUUUCUUCUUCUUCUUUUGUUUCUUUUCAUGUUUUUUGUUGCAUGUUUUGGAAGAAACGCGUCUAGAUGAUCUAAAAGGAGAACAAAGGUUGAACUAACUUCCAAGGAACACACACAUGACGCAUGCAACAACACUUAUACGUUUCCCUUUCUUAUGCCACAACUUUGCUUCAAGUAACCAAAUUCACCUUAGUUUCUUAUCACUUCUAGUGUUUUUAGCCUGCAAGACUAACCAAUCUUACAAUUCAAUUGCUUAUUUUAAACCUCUUGCAACAAUCCAUCAUCUUUUCUCAUUCCAACUUCUGUCAAUAUGUCAUCGUGGAUAACUCUCAAAUUCAGAGCUGUUCUUCAUGUACUUCGUGCCACCAACUUCCAAUCAAGCUAUGUUGGAUUACAGAAAAACAGACCAAUUGUAUCAGCUGCUACACCUCAAACAGUUCAUUGCUUGCAUCCUAAUCUGCAAUUCUACAGCACCAAUACCAACAACACAAGUACUAAUGCAAAAGGGUAUACCCCAAAACCUUUAUCUUCCAUAAAUCCUAAUCUCACUGUUCAAAACUACAUUCUGAAAUUUCCUCAUUACCUUUUUACAUGCAGAAUAAAAGAUGAGAAGAUUCAACCUGAACCUGCUGCACCUGCACAUGCUUCUAAAACUUUUUCCUUCUCUUAUUGGUAUGUGAAUAUUAUCACUUUUAUUAGCACUUUUUACUGAUGAAUUGUUAAUUUAAACUGUCUGAUUUUUCUUUUGUCAAUUUAAAGACUAGUGCAAUUAACUUUCAGUAAACCCAUAAUUAAAUCCAAAAUAUGGAUAUUCAAAUAUCAAGAUAACCAACUCAUUGUUGAAAAAUCCACCUAAAACUAAGAUAGAGUUGCAAGUAUUAACUAAUGCACCAGAUUCCAUCAUAAUUAUGCAGUUAAACGUGUUUAGAUAAGAUAGUACUAAGAGAUGGUUAAUCUUGUGUGUAUUUUUCCUUAUGAACAUGCAGGUUAAGAUGGAUAUUGGGCAUGACACUUUCUGUCUUACUACCCUUCUGGAAACCUUACUGGAAAAAACUGCAGAGAAUAGAAGGUAGAUGGAAUAUCCGACAAACAAUCUAAUUUCUUAAACUUUGCAAAUAUACUAAGAAAAUAGUUUGGGAACAAAAUUAAUGUGAAUUCAGGAGAGGCAGAGUUUGUGAUUGAAGAGGCUGAAGCGGUGGCAAAAGUGGUAGAAAAAGUGGCAAAAGUAGCAGAAAAAGUAUCUGAAGAUGUAGCAGAGAUGCUUCCAGAGGAUGGUAAACUAAGGAAAGCAACUUUGGUGGUAGAACAUGCAUCAAAAGAAGCAGCACAUGAUGCUCAGCUUACUCAACAAUUCAUACACAAGGUACUAAUAUACUGUCAAUCAAUGUUUACUGUUUAAUUACAUCACACAUGCUUUCAACAAUUAUUCAAAUCAUUGCUCAUUACUUUUUCCUAAACAUAUAGGUUGAAGAACUCAAGAAUGACCUUGAUGAUAUACAAGCCUUUGUUGAACCAGUAAUUGACAAGAUUGUCAAGAUUUAAUUAACCUCACAAAAUUUAUGUCAAAUACUUAUUCUUUUGUAUACUGGUGUUCUGCAAUCAUUGCAUAUUAUAUUUUGUUGUUGGCUAUAUUUAUUUGUAAUUUUUUUCAUUUUAUCAUGAUAAAAGUUAGAAUAAAAUGCACCCUCUCUUUGAGAAAUGGUCCAAAUAAAUACAUUUUCAUUAAAAAUUACCCUUUCUUUCUUGAAGGAUUAAUUUAUAUUGUUGUACAGCUUGUAACAGGCUUGUUCAUAGUGGCAAGUCUUUAAGAAAAAAAAAAUAUUAUUCAACUUUUCAUAUCACCAACAACUAAUUUUAAAUAUCAAAUUUCCAACUUUUAUUGGAUGAAAGACUUUCAAAUUUCACUCAAAUUCUUAAUUUAAUUUUAUUUUACUUAUAGAAUUCUCAAAAUAUAGGCUCAUUUUUUUCCUAAUUACGGAGUUGUCUGUUUUAAAAAAUGAAAUUUCGUAAUAAUUUUAUCUCGAAAUAUGAAAGAAAAAAUAUUUAAAUUAUUUUAAAUCUUAUAUAAGAUUAUUGAGUAGUACGAAUAAUAAUAUUUUGUUUUAUUAUCAAGUGGGAUGAAAGUAAAUUAUUAUACCUAAAAUAUUAUGUAUUUGAAGUUUGAAAUUAUAAACAUUAAGAUUUAGAAUUUAAUAACUUGGUGAGAAGGUUGGAUAAGAAAAAUGUAUAUUAUAUAUAAUAUUUUAUUGGUUUAUAUAUUUCAAACAUAUCAAUCACAAAUUUCCAUUAAACCUAUUUUAAAAAAAUUGUCAACAAAAUUAUUAAAGUUACAUUUUUCCUAUAAUAUAAUAUAAUAUAAUUGCUUUUUUCACGUUUCAGCGGUGUAGGAAUAGCUACAAUGUCAGUGCCACCCUUAUCAACCAACUUUCUGUCUCUCUUCAUAUUUAUUCUUUCCACUUUCCCAAUUAUCAACAUUAAUUUACACUAAUCUAAAAUUAUAUUUUUAUGAUUUCAAAUUAAAUGUAAAAUGCACUAUAUCAAUAGAUAAAUGUAGGCAAAAGUUUUAUGUUUAGCAUCUAACAAUAUUAGUGGUGAAAUUUUUCUCUCCUAUAUCACUCAAUAUUAUUGAAAACCAAUUAUAUUACAUAAAUAAGUAUAAAUCUUACUGAAUCAAUUUUAUAUUAAACUAACUUCGGAAACUUGUCAUUAUAUAAAAUACAUACAUAGAGUAUAAAAAAAAAUAAAAAUACAUCAUAUAGAAAAUAUCGAGCAUCCAAAUCUGGGAGGAUGAUAAUAAAAAGAAUAAUCUGAAAUAGUUUUCAGAUUAUAUCCACCAGGAAGAACAUAUACUGAAUGUUCAUCUUCUGAGAAUCAAUGUUUCAAAUUAUACUUGCGACAGUGCCAUCAAAGUGAUGGUCACAGAGUACAAACUUAUUGUAGAAAUAAUAAAACUGCGGUGAAGUAAGAAAUGUUAUAAUUAAAGAAAGCAUGUUUUAAAGAUUAAAAUUUGGACCACUUGAUAGCUAUGUCCAUCAAUAAUGAUAAAUAGGCACCCUGGUAUAUCACAAUGAAUGGAGACACUUUCUCGUGUCUUUUGUUAGUAGUACAUGUCCUGCUUCCCCUAACUUCGCUUUAGACAUGUGACCUUAUCUUGUGUUUUUUACUGUAACAAACCAAACCUCAAUAAUGUCUUGUUUCAUCGUACAAUCAGACUGAAAGAGAGGAAAAAUUAGCAUACCAAAGUAUCAUUUGUCUCCUUCAAAUUUCUCAAUUUAACUUUUUGAAAAGAGAAAAAUAAAAGUAAAGGAAAACGAACCUCCAAGUUCAUUGCAUAUGAUUCCUCACAACGACCCCAUUCAACUUUUGAUUCGACUUUACCAACCAUCACUUUCUCACUCUUAGGUUGGACUCAUGCUGCAAUCUUAAUCCCAAAUCUUAUAUUUGUAUUUUGCGUGACAAAUUAUCUCAUUACCGUUGUAAACAGAGUGAGAAUGAGAAAAGUUAAGAGCAAUAAAAGUGUAUCAAUAGUAGCCAUCGUCGUCAUAAAUACAAUACACCAAAUAAUCCAAAGAAUCAACUCUCACACAUCAAAGAUAAAAAAAAAAAAUACAAAAAUGAAGUACAAGAGGAAUUUGCGAUCCAUGUAAACUCCCAACGACAUUAAAAAGAAAAAAAAAAAAAAAAAACUCCACUAAACUAUUUCUACAUGAACAAAGCCGCAGCGAGAACCACGGCGACGGCAGAUCCGGCGAGGGUGAAUCUGUUCAAAGCGGCGCCGUUUUGCGAGGGAGUCGGUGCUUCGGUCGGCGGAGAGGAGAUUGCCGAAGGAGUGACGGAAGGAGCACCGGCCGGAGAUACGGGAGGCGACGGCGGAGAGUCGAUGCCGGUCGGCGAAGGAGACGGAGCGUUGAGCGCCGGAGCAGGGGGAGACGAUGACGGCGACUCGGCGGCAGGAGAAAUCGCCGGUGACGGAGAGCUACGCGGCGUGGCCGCCACGGGUGUUCUCUUCGGAGAGAGAGCUGGCGACGACGCCGGAGACUGAGCCAGCACGGAGGUGACUAACAAUGCAGCGACUAGCGUAAAGACAACGGUGGAGUUAGCCAUUGUAGAGAGAGAGAGAGUAAAAAACAAAAGGAUUUUGAGUGUUAAUUGAACUAUAUCAGAGAAAAUAAGUUGAUGAGUGAGAACGUGUGUGUAGUGAAGAGAAACAUAGGAUUGUAGGGCAUUUAUAGAAGCGUGUUCGCUUUGAGGUGAAUCGUUACUCGCCGUUGAUGCGUUGAAAUCAUUAUCAGUUGACACGCGGCACUUAUUCCAUCUGCCAGUGCACAAGGAAAUAAUAAUAAAAAAUAGUUUUCUUUAUUUUUCUGGAAAAAGUUUUUCAUUAGUUUUAAUUAAUAAUUAAAACUACGAAAUAUGUGAAAUAAAAUUUGGAAAAAAAAAAUGGAGGAGUUUAGGGUAAAGCAGAAACGGCAGGGCACGCGAGAGAUUGAAGGAGGGCGGGGAUGCUGCAGAUACAGCUGUCUUUGAAUCAGGAGCGUACACGUGGUGAAAAGUUUGAAGGAUGAGAUGAAUCGGUGAACGUUGGAUGGAAGCUAGUUAAGGAAAGUGGUAACGGUCGAAAGAAGUAAAGGAGGUGCACAAAAUUUUCAUGUGAAUUUUGUGGUACAUAGUUUCAUUAAAGUCGAAGUCUAAAACAGGCAGGGACCACCUAGUUUGUCUUAGCCAAAGGUAAUAAUUAACAAGUAACGCUGUCUCUCUAGUUUCUUCUUACCAUCUUCAACGGCAAACAAAUUCUUUCCAACUUUUCAAUAAAAUAUAUCUGUUAGCUGAUCUUACAAAAUCAUAUUAACAUUAUAUAUACCAUAUAAUAUGGUGAUUUAAGUGAA